rnacentral:rRNA from 1 species
AUGGGGAAGAAAGGUAUCGUGGUGGCGACCACCGUCAUCGCCGUGAUGACUGUCAUCUUCGGGGUCAUCAGCGCGGUUUUCUUGGGGCUGAGAAGCUAUCAGGAUGACCACGAUGACCGCAGCGUGUGUAAGUACGAGCGAUCGCCGGCGACGGCUUGCGGCGUCGUGGCGGCCGUGCUGGCGCUAAUUUAA